UAGGGAAUAUUGGACAAUGGGCGAAAGCCUGAUCCAGCAAUGCCGCGUGAGUGAUGAAGGCCUUAGGGUUGUAAAGCUCUUUUACCAGGGAUGAUAAUGACAGUACCUGGAGAAUAAGCUCCGGCUAACUCCGUGCCAGCAGCCGCGGUAAUACGGAGGGAGCUAGCGUUGUUCGGAAUUACUGGGCGUAAAGCGUACGUAGGCGGUGAUUCAAGUCAGAGGUGAAAGCCUGGAGCUCAACUCCAGAACUGCCUUUGAAACUAGGUCGCUAGAAUCACGGAGAGGUGAGUGGAAUUCCGAGUGUAGAGGUGAAAUUCGUAGAUAUUCGGAAGAACACCAGUGGCGAAGGCGGCUCACUGGACGUGUAUUGACGCUGAGGUACGAAAGCGUGGGGAGCAAACAGGAUUAGAUACCCUAGUAGUCCCUGAGCGGGCUGGCAAGGCGCAU
rnacentral:rRNA from 1 species